rfam:Picea glauca, whole genome shotgun sequence.
GGGGAUGUAGCUCAAACGGUAGAGCGCUCGCUUUGCAUGCGAGAGGUACGGGGUUCCAUACCCUGCAUCUCCA